rnacentral:tRNA from 1 species
GGCGCUGGUGCUGGACGGGCCGGGCCCGGUGCCGUCGGGGACGGUGCGGUACCCGGCGCCGUUCGGCGUCUGACCCGCCGCGUGCGCUG